UCAAAAACAUGUCCUAUUGUAAAUGAUUUUAGGUUUGACCUGCCCCCUGAAUUUUUAAAUGGCCGCGGUAUUUUGACCGUGCUAAGGUAGCAUAAUAAUUAGUUUCUUAAUUAGAAGCUUGUAUGAAUGGUUUUAUAAGAAAAUGGCUGUCUCUAUCUAAAUAUAUUUGAAUUUUAUUUUUUAGUAAAAAAGCUUAAAUAGUUUUAAAAGACGAGAAGACCCUAUAGAGUUUUAUAAUAAAUUAUUUUAAUAUUUUUUAGAAUUUUUUAUUUUUAAAUUAUUUUUAUUAUUUAAUUGGGGUGAUUGAAAAAUUAAAUAAACUUUUUUUUAUAUUUUACAUAGAUUUAUGAAAUAAUGAUCCAUUUUUUAUGAUUAAAAGUUUAAAUUACCUUAGGGAUAACAGCGUAAUUUUUUCAAAGAGUUCUUAUCGAAGAAAAAGAUUGCGACCUCGAUGUUGGAUUAAAAAUAAUUUUUGGUGUAGAAGCUGAGUAAGUUAGGUCUGUUCGACCUUUAAAAUUUUACAUGAUCUGA
rnacentral:rRNA from 1 species